rnacentral:rRNA from 1 species
AAUGAACGCUAGCGGCAGGCCUCAUACAUGCAAGUCGAGGGGCAACAGGACACUUCGGUGUUGCUGGCGACCGGCGAACGGGUGCGUAACACGUAUGCAAUCUGCCUUGUACAGGAGGAUAGCUCUCGGAAACGAGAAUUAAUACUCCAUAUUAUCUUAUUAACGCAUGUUGAUAAGAUGAAAGCUCCGGCGGUACAAGAUGAGCAUGCGUCCCAUUAGCUAGUUGGUGAGGUAAUAGCUCACCAAGGCGACGAUGGGUAGGGGUUCUGAGAGGAAGAUCCCCCACACUGGCACUGAGAUACGGGCCAGACUCCUACGGGAGGCAGCAGUAGGGAAUAUUGGUCAAUGGACGCAAGUCUGAACCAGCCAUGCCGCGUGCAGGAUGAAGGCCCUCAGCGUUGUAAACUGCUUUUAUAUGGAAAUAAAAGCCCUUGCGAGGGUUAUUGAAGGUACCAUAAGAAUAAGCACCGGC